rnacentral:rRNA from 1 species
GACGAACGCUGGCGGCGUGCCUAAUACAUGCAAGUAGAACGCUGAAGGAGGAGCUUGCUCUUCUGGAUGAGUUGCGAACGGGUGAGUAACGCGUAGGUAACCUGCCUGGUAGCGGGGGAUAACUAUUGGAAACGAUAGCUAAUACCGCAUAACAGUAGAUGUUGCAUGACAUUUACUUAAAAGUUGCAAUUGCAUCACUACCAGAUGGACCUGCGUUGUAUUAGCUAGUUGGUGGGGUAACGGCUCACCAAGGCGACGAUACAUAGCCGACCUGAGAGGGUGAUCGGCCACACUGGGACUGAGACACGGCCCAGACUCCUACGGGAGGCAGCAGUAGGGAAUCUUCGGCAAUGGACGGAAGUCUGACCGAGCAACGCCGCGGGAGUGAAGAAGGUUGUCGGAUCGUAAAGCUCUGUUGUAAGGGAAGAACGAGUGUGAGAGUGGAAAGUUCACACUGUGACGGUAGCUUACCAGAAAGGGACGGCUAACUACGUG